UUUCCUCAACUUGUUAAUUGAAAACGAUUUAGAAAAAAGGUUGACAGAAACUCAUGUUCAUCCACUCAUCGAUGGUUUAUUAAAUAUGCAUUGGAAUAUGAACCAGUGUAUGAACGCUUAUAGCUUCUUAUAACACGUCGUAGCUCCUUAAAACACGUCAUAGCUCCUUAUAACACGUUAUAACACGUCAUAGCUCCUUAUAACACGUUAUAACACGUCAUAGCUCCUUAUAACACGUUAUAACACGUCAUAGCUCCUUAUAACACGUUAUAACACGUCAUAGUUCCUUAUAACACGUUAUAACACGUCAUAGCUCCUUAUAACACGUUAUAACACGUCAUAGCUCCUUAUAACACGUUAUAACACAUCAUAGCUCCUUAUAACACGUCAUAGCUCCUUAUAACACGUUAUAACACAUCAUAGCUCCUUAUAACAUGUUAUAACACAUCAUAGCUCCUUAUAACACAUCAUAGCUUCUUAUAACAUGUUAUAACACAUCAUAGCUCCUUAAAACACGUUAUAACACAUCAUAGCUCCUUAAAACACGUUAUAACACAUCAUAGCUUCUUAUAACACGUCGUAGCUCCUUAAAACACGUUAUAACACCUCAUAGCUUCUUAUAACACGUUAUAACACAUCAUAGCUUCUUAUAACACAUCAUAGCUCCUUAUAACACGUCAUAGCUCCUUAUAACACGUCAUAGCUCCUUAUAACACGUUAUAACGCAUCAUAGCUUCUUAUAACACGUUAUAACACAUCAUAGCUUCUUAUAACACAUCAUAGCUUCUUAUAACACAUCAUAGCUCCUUAUAACACAUCGUAGCUUCUUAAAACACGUCAUGUGUUAUAACCUAUCAUAGCUUAACACGUCAUAGCUCCUUAUAACACGUCAUAGCUUCUUAUAACACGUCAUAGCUCCUUAUAACACGUCAUAGCUUCUUAUAACACGUUAUAACACGUCAUAGCUUCUUAUAACACCUCAUAGCUUCUUAUAACACGUUAUAACACAUCAUAGCUUCUUAUAACACAUCAUAGCUCCUUAUAACACGUCAUAGCUCCUUAUAACACGUUAUAACACACCACAGCUUCUUAUAACACGUUAUAACACAUCAUAGCUUCUUAUAACACAUCAUAGCUUCUUAUAACACAUCAUAGCUCCUUAUAACACAUCAUAGCUUCUUAUAACACAGGUUAUAACACAUCAUAGCUCCUUAUAACACAUCGUAGCUUCUUAAAACACGUCAUGUGUUAUAACCUAUCAUAGCUUAACACGUCAUAGCUUCUUAUAACACGUCAUAGCUCCUUAUAACACAUCAUAGCUCCUUAUAACACGUCAUAGCUUCUCAUUAUAACACAUCAUAGCUCCUUAUAACACAUCAUAGCUUCUCCUUAUAACACGUCAUAGCUUCUCAUUAUAACACAUCAUAGCUCCUUAUAACACGCCAUAGCUCCUAAUAACACAUCAUAGCUUCUCCUUAUAACACGUCAUAGCUUCUCAUUAUAACACAUCAUAGCUUCUCCUUAUAACACAUCAUAGCUUCUCCUUAUAACACAUCAUAGCUUCUCCUUAUAACACAUCAUAGCUCCUCCUAAUAACACAUCAUAGCUUCUCCUUAUAACACGUCAUAGCUCCUAAUAACACAUCAUAGCUUCUCCUUAUAACACGUCAUAGCUUAUAACACGUCAUAGCUUCUCCUUAUAACACAUCAUAGCUUCUCCUUAUAACACAUCAUAGCUUCUCCUUAUAACACAUCAUAGCUCCUCCUUAUAACACAUCAUAGCUUGUCCUUAUAACACAUCAUAGCUUCUCCUUAUAACACAUCAUAGCUUCUCCUUAUAACACGUCAUAGCUCCUUAUAUCACGUCAUGAUGAUGAAGAGGAUGUGAAGGCUGGUGCUGGGGGGGAUGUCUUAAUGAUGAUGAUGAUGUGAAGGCUGGUGCUGGGGGGGUGUCUUAAUGAUGAUGAUGAAGAGGAUGUGAAAGCUGGUGCUGGGUGGGGGAUGUCUUAAUGAUGAUGAUGAAGAGGAUGUGAAGGCUGGUGCUGGGGGGAUGUCUUGAUGAUGAUGAUGAUGAUGAAGAGGAUGCUGGGGGGAUGUCUUAAUGAUGAUGAUGAAGAGGAUGUGAAGGCUGGUGCUGGGGGGAUGUCUUCAUGAUGAUGAUGAUGAUGAUGAUGAGGCUGG
ensembl:lncRNA